rnacentral:lncRNA from 1 species
CCCCUGCAUCUGCCAGUGAUUUACAUGUGCUGUGCAUGUUCACCAUCCAUGUGUGAGGAAAACGGACAAAACCUCCUCAACACUUCCUGUCACCAAGGCACCCAGCGACCCCCAGACGUGUGCCGCGUGCCUCCUCCCCAUCUCCUCAUCUCUCCCCUCCACGCACGAUUAGUCUCGCCGGUGCCACGAGGCUUCAGCACUGUACUACGGCCGUGUGGAAACAAAGUGCCCAUCUAUCACAGGGAAUAAGCUUCAUUAAGCGCCUGGCACCUGGUGCAGGGAGACAGCAAUUAGUGGAGCCGCAGCAGCAACAGCUUGACGUCCCUCUCCGCCGUCCCCCGCUUGUUGGGAUGCUGCAUUAAUGGCUAAUUUCGGGCCAUGAUGGGCCUGACAAAUCUGCAGUGAGGGAGGCGUACCGUGUCUGGGAAAGAGAUGGGGGUCUCCCCCUAAGGACACGGAAGUGUCGGUUCUCGGGCGUCAACGAGCACUUAAUCUACAGGACCUGGGACCGCUGCCAGAACUGGGACCUUACGGGGAGGUCUCCAGACGGCAACAAGCAGUCAGACUGAAACUGGAGUUUAAAUCUCUUUCUCUCUCUCUCUCUCGCUCGCUCACACCCACCCACACACACACACACACACACACACACACACACACACACACACACACACACACACACACACACACACACACACACACACACACACACACACACACACACACACACACGCACACACACACGCACACACACACACAUGUGCAUGCUCUCUCUCGAUUGCCUCUCCACCUUGGGAGAGAAAAAUGGUCGGAGAAUAUAGUGCGGAGUAAGAAGAAAUUCUGUUAAAGGAGAACUUAUCGACCACGGGGGUCUGCCCUCCCCCUCUCUCCCCCCCCUUCCACUCACGUCCCCCACCAAACACAUUUGCCCUCGUCCUCCCAUUCCACUGGCUGUCAGUCGUCAGGGAUCUUGUUUUCUGGUUCUCUCUCUCUCUCUCGUCUCGUCUGCCUUCUUCCUGCUGCAGGAACGGAAUGAAUUUGCCCGGUCAUGUAGAGCGGAGGCAGGCAGCGCCAUGGCCAGCAAUCAAUCAGCACACUGCCUCGCUGUCACUGCCGUGUGUGUGUGUGUGUGUGUGUGUGUGUGUGUGUGCACCUCCCCCAGCCCAGCUCCGUCUGCACACACACCUUCCCCAGCCUCUCCAGCGGACUCCCCAGGGGGACGGAGGAAGCAGGGGGCCUUCAUGCUAGACACACACUCAUACACACACACACUCUCAAUACUGCAGCGUAGAAAACACAGAAAGGAGUUUUAAAUAUUCAUUUAUAUAUACACAGACACUUGCCUCGCUCACCUAUGUACACACACACACACACACACACAAACACAUUCACACAGAGCAUAUAGUCAGGUAACCUUACCAGAUAAGAGGCAACACACAUACGCUGAAAACACAGCAGAUUGGUCCAGAGCGCAAAAUAUUGGGUUGAUUUUGUUGCAAAUAAAAGCAGAAAGUGAAACA